CCUUAAAAAAAAAUCUCUCUCUGUGAGAUCGGAGCCAGCCAUGUCCGACGAGGAGCACCACUUCGAGUCUAAGGCUGACGCCGGAGCCUCCAAGACCUCUCCUCAGCAUUUCGUAGUUUGAUUGAAUGGGACGAGAGGGAUUCGAUUCCCUCCAAACGUAACUCAAAUUCAAAGAUCAAAGCAGCAGCGAAGGAAUUGGGUUGCUAUUGUUUUGCUAUUUUUCUCUUCGGUUGAUAAAUUUUUCUCCUACCAUCAAGGUAUGGCAGGGGAGAAGUUGGAUGAAAAUAUUCCUUGCGAGGAAAAUGGGACUGUAGAAUCUUCGAAUGGCAAUGGUAAUGGAGAAGCCGCUCAACAAUCUCCAACUGUUCAGAAAGAUGAGGAUGAAGACAAAGGAAUACCGCUGGUUUUGUGUACUUGAGAGAUUUGAGAACACAUAAGCUGCAAUAAAUGCUCGACAAGUUCUCCAUGGAAGAUGGUUUGCUGGAAGAUGAUCACAGCGACUUUCAUGUUGCCUCAUAUCUGUGAGACUAAAUUCCCUGAGAGCCGAUAGGAUUAUGCACAUUAGGAAUGUGAAGAAGGCAGCUGGUAUGCCUGUUAGGUCCAAUUUCCAGAUGAUGGAGUAUUUAAUUGUCCUCGUGGCUUUGUGUAACAAGAAAGAAUGUAAUGUUGAGAUGAGAAAGUUGCAUGUACAUCACUUGGAAUUUUUCAGUCAAUGCAACGUGAAAUUA